AGUAGCCGCGGUAAUUCCAGCUCCAAUAGCGUAUAUUAAAGUUGUUGCAGUUAAAAAGCUCGUAGUUGAAUUUCGGGGUUAGCAGGUCGGUCGUGCCAUUGGUAUGAACUGGUCUCGCUGAUCCCUCCCUCUUGACGAACUGUGAUGCCAUUAAUUUGGUGUCGCAGGGAAUCAGGACUGUUACUUUGAAAAAUUAGAGUGUUUAAAGCAGGCUCACGCUUGAAUACAUUAGCAUGGAAUAAUGAAAUAGGACGUUUGAUCCUAUUUUGUUGGCUUCUAGGAUUGACGUAAUGAUUAAUAGGGAUAGUUGGGGGCAUUAGUAUUCAAUUGUCAGAGGUGAAAUUCUUGGAUUUAUUGAAGACUAACUACUGCGAAAGCAUUUGCCAAGGAUGUUUUCAUUAAUCAAGAACGAAAGUUAGGGGAUCGAAGACGAUCAGAUACCGUCGUAGUCUUAACCAUAAACUAUGCCGACUAGGGAUCGGAUGAUGUUAAUUUUUAAUGACUCAUUCC
rnacentral:misc_RNA from 1 species